UACGUAGGGUGCAAGCGUUGUCCGGAAUUAUUGGGCGUAAAGAGCUCGUAGGCGGUUUGUUGCGUCGGCUGUGAAAUCCCGAGGCUCAACCUCGGGUCUGCAGUCGAUACGAGCAAACUAGAGUGUUGCAGGGGAGACUGGAAUUCCUGGUGUAGCGGUGAAAUGCGCAGAUAUCAGGAAGAACACCCGUGGCGAAGGCGGCUCGCUGGGACGGUACUGACGCUGAGACGCGAAAGCGUGGGGAGCGAACAGG
rnacentral:rRNA from 1 species